CACUUCCACGUGGACCCCUGCCAUGGCUCUGACUCACAGCUGCUCGCCCCCGCUGUGUUUUGCAACAGCUCAAGCUCUCCCGAGGACUUAAAGAAGACCCGUCCAUCAUCCCCUGACCAGGAUGACCUCCAACCCAGCCUAUGACUACCCUGAGCCCUAUGCCAAUCCCCGGCAAGGGGCCGUGUCCCUGCCCCAUAACAUCAGCCUCGUGGGGCGACUGAGGCUCACCCAGCCCGUUUGGCUCCAGCUGGGCAUCAAUUCAGCCACGGCCCUCCACAUCUUGCAACGGGAACCGGCAGGGACAUUUCUGGUGCGAAGAUCCAACACUCGCCAGUGCCAGGUUCUCUGCCUCCGUCUUUUGAAUGGUUCAUCGCCUGCUUUUGUGACGAAUUACCGUUUACACGAAGAACGGGCAG